rnacentral:rRNA from 1 species
UACGAAGGGGGCUAGCGUUGCUCGGAAUUACUGGGCGUAAAGGGCGCGUAGGCGGAUACUUAAGUCGGGGGUGAAAGCCCGGGGCUCAACCUCGGAAUUGCCUUCGAUACUGGGUAUCUUGAGUUCGGGAGAGGUGAGUGGAAUGCCGAGUGUAGAGGUGAAAUUCGUAGAUAUUCGGCGGAACACCAGUGGCGAAGGCGACUCACUGGCCCGAUACUGACGCUGAUGCGCGAAAGCGUGGGGAGCAAACGGG